rnacentral:rRNA from 1 species
UACGUAGGUGGCAAGCGUUAUCCGGAAUUAUUGGGCGUAAAGAGCGCGCAGGUGGUUGAUUAAGUCUGAUGUGAAAGUCCACGGCUUAACCGUGGAGGGUCAUUGGAAACUGGUCGACUUGAGUGCAGAAGAGGGAAGUGGAAUUCCAUGUGUAGCGGUGAAAUGCGUAGAGAUAUGGAGGAACACCAGUGGCGAAGGCGGCUUCCUGGUCUGUAACUGACACUGAGGCGCGAAAGCGUGGGGAGCAAACAGGAUUAGAUACCCCGGUA